rnacentral:rRNA from 1 species
UGGCGGCGUGCUUAACACAUGCAAGUCGAACGAUGAACCACUUCGGUGGGGAUUAGUGGCGAACGGGUGAGUAACACGUGGGCAAUCUGCCCUGCACUCUGGGACAAGCCCUGGAAACGGGGUCUAAUACCGGAUACUGACCCGCUUGGGCAUCCAAGCGGUUCGAAAGCUCCGGCGGUGCAGGAUGAGCCCGCGGCCUAUCAGCUUGUUGGUGAGGUAAUGGCUCACCAAGGCGACGACGGGUAGCCGGCCUGAGAGGGCGACCGGCCACACUGGGACUGAGACACGGCCCAGACUCCUACGGGAGGCAGCAGUGGGGAAUAUUGCACAAUGGGCGAAAGCCUGAUGCAGCGACGCCGCGUGAGGGAUGACGGCCUUCGGGUUGUAAACCUCUUUCAGCAGGGAAGAAGCGAAAGUGACGGUACCUGCAGAAGAAGCGCCGGCUAACUACGUGCCAGCAGCCGCGGUAAUACGUAGGGCGCGAGCGUUGUCCGGAAUUAUUGGGCGUAAAGAGCUCGUAGGCGGCUUGUCACGUCGGUUGUGAAAGCCCGGGGCUUAACCCCGGGUCUGCAGUCGAUACGGGCAGGCUAGAGUUCGGUAGGGGAGAUCGGAAUUCCUGGUGUAGCGGUGAAAUGCGCAGAUAUCAGGAGGAACACCGGUGGCGAAGGCGGAUCUCUGGGCCGAUACUGACGCUGAGGAGCGAAAGCGUGGGGAGCGAACAGGAUUAGAUACCCUGGUAGUCCACGCCGUAAACGGUGGGCACUAGGUGUGGGCGACAUUCCACGUCGUCCGUGCCGCAGCUAACGCAUUAAGUGCCCCGCCUGGGGAGUACGGCCGCAAGGCUAAAACUCAAAGGAAUUGAC